rnacentral:rRNA from 1 species
CCUACGGGAGGCAGCAGUGAGGAAUAUUGGUCAAUGGACGAGAGUCUGAACCAGCCAAGUAGCGUGAAGGAUGACUGCCCUAUGGGUUGUAAACUUCUUUUAUAUGGGAAUAAAAUGUUCCACGUGUGGGAUUUUGUAUGUACCAUAUGAAUAAGGAUCGGCUAACUCCGUGCCAGCAGCCACGGUAAUACGGAGGAUCCGAGCGUUAUCCGGAUUUAUUGGGUUUAAAGGGAGCGUAGGUGGAUUGUUAAGUCAGUUGUGAAAGUUUGCGGCUCAACCGUAAAAUUGCAGUUGAAACUGGCAGUCGUGAGUACAGUAGAGGUGGGCGGAAGUCGUGGUGUAGCGGUGAAAUGCUUAGAUAUCACGAAGAACUCCGAUUGCGAAGGCAGCUCACUGGACUGCAACUGACACUGAGGCUCGAAAGUGUGGGUAUCAAACAGGAUUAGAUACCCGUGUAGUC